rnacentral:rRNA from 1 species
AUGGUUAGGAGUGUACCGAUUGGUGAGAAGCUCUUCAUAGGAGGAGACCUCAAUGGCCACGUGGGUACAUCUAACACAGGUUUUGAAGGGGCGCAUGGGGGCUUUGGCUAUGGCAUUAGGAAUCAAGAAGGAGAAGAUGUCUUAAGCUUUGCUCUAGCCUACAACAUGAUUGUAGCUAACACCCUCUUUAGAAAGAGAGAAUCACAUCUGGUGACUUUUAGUAGUGGCCAACACUCUAGCAAGAUUGAUUUCAUCCUCUCGAGAAGAGAAGAUAGGCGUGUGUGCCUAGACUGUAAGGUGAUACCUGGGGAGAGUGUUGUACCCCAGCAUAAGCUGGUGGUUGCUGACUUCCGCUUUCGGAUUCGUGUCCAGCGGGAUAAGCGUGCCAAGGUCGCUAGAACGAAGUGGUGGAAGCUCAAGGGGGAGGUAGCUCAGGUGUUCAAGGAGAGGGUAUUUAAGGAGGGCCCUUGGGAGGAAGGAGGGGAUGCGGACAAUGUGUGGAUGAAGAUGGCGACUUGCAUCCGUAAGGUGGCCUCGGAGGAGUUUGAAGUGUCCAGGGGAAGGAGAAGCGAAGAUAAGGAUACCUGGUGGUGGAAUGAUGAUGUCCAGAAGGCGCUUAAAGAGAAGAAAGAUUGCUUCAGACGCCUAUACCUGGAUAGGAGUGCAGACAACAUAGAGAAGUACAAGAUGGCGAAGAAGGCCGCAAAGCGAGCUGUUGGUGAAGCAAGGGGUCGGGCAUAUGAGGACCUCUACCAACGGUUAGGCACGAAGGAAGGUGAAAGGGACAUCUAUAAGAUGGCUAAGAUCCGGGAGAGGAAGACGAGGGAUAUUGGCCAAGUCAAAUGCAUCAAGGACGGAGCAGGCCAACUCUUGGUGAAGGACGAAGAGAUUAAGCAUAGAUGGCGGGAGUACUUCGACAAGCUGUUCAAUGGGGAGAAUGAGAGUUCUACCAUUGAACUGAAUGACUCCUUUGAUGAGACCAGCAUGCGUUUUGUGCGGCGCAUCCAGGAGUCUGAGGUGAAGGAGGCUUUUAAAAGGAUGAAAAGAGGCAAGGCGAUGGGCCCUGAUUGUAUCCCCAUUGAGGUGUGGAAAGGUCUCGGGGACAUAGCGAUGGUAUGGCUAACCAAGCUUUUCAACCUCAUUUUUCGGGCAAACAAGAUGCCAGGAGAAUGGAGACGGAGUAUAUUAGUACCAAUCUUCAAGAACAAGGGGGAUGUUCAGAGUUGUACUAAUUACUGUGGAACUAGUAAUCGUGUACGUGCAAAUGCACGUAUUAAUGAGUACACAUAA